CUUCGGAAGAUGCCAGUAUAACAGUUGACAAGGGAACUAAUGCUUGCACUGUCAUUAAAAUUGCUAGAGCUGCUGCGCAAAAAGUUAGGAAGGUACUUAAAGAGAAGGAAGACAAUUCACAAAGAAUUGGGAAACAGUUUUGUCAGCAAACACAUCGAGGCAUCUGAACAAAUUGUCACAACUACAUGAAGACAGGGACCUGCAAAUUUGGAUCCACAGGGGCGCAACGGGUCAUAAUCUGUCGCAGAUAAGAUAUGUUGCAGAUCACCUUAACGAUGCAACUUGACAAUUAGAGCACAUUCUACAGGAAACAAGCAGGUAUUAUAUGGGGUCAUUUAUGCUUUUGGUAGCCCACUAGACACACCCACCAUGAAGAGCUUCUUUGACAAUAAAGUCGUUUUUUAU